AAUAGAUACCCGGGUAGUCCACGCCGUAAACGAUGAGUGCUAAGUGUUGGGGGGUUUCCGCCCCUCAGUGCUGCAGCUAACGCAUUAAGCACUCCGCCUGGGGAGUACGGUCGCAAGACUGAAACUCAAAGGAAUUGACGGGGGCCCGCACAAGCGGUGGAGCAUGUGGUUCAAUUCGAAGCAACGCGAAGAACCUUACCAGGUCUUGACAUCCCGGUGACCACUAUGGAGACAUAGUUUCCCCUUCGGGGGCAACGGUGACAGGUGGUGCAUGGUUGUCGUCAGCUCGUGUCGUGAGAUGUUGGGUUAAGUCCCGCAACGAGCGCAACCCUUAUUCUUAGUUGCCAUCAUUCAGUUGGGCACUCUAAGGAGACUGCCGGUGAUAAACCGGAGGAAGGUGGGGAUGACGUCAAAUCAUCAUGCCCCUUAUGACCCGUGGCUACACACGUGCUACAAUGGACGGUACAACGGUUGCCAACCGCGAGGGAGCUAAUCCGAUAAACCGUUCUCAGUUCGUAUUGUAGGCUGCAACUCG
rnacentral:rRNA from 1 species